rnacentral:tRNA from 2 species
AAAACUUUAGGUUAAUUAAACCCUAAACCUUCAAAGUUUAAAUUAAAAGUGGAAUCUAUUAAGUUUUA